AGGUCCAACAGGGGGCGCCGCGUUGGAACGCCCAAAGGGGUUGGGGGUUCGGGUGCGGUGGGCGAGCAAGCGAGUGUAUGGCGGCCAGGCCCAGAAGGCCACGAGGACCGCUGGCGCCGAGGCGUCAGUCUUUCAGACUCCAAAAGUAGCAAAGGCCGAGCGAGGAGGUUAGGGGCUCCCAAAGGCCAGCCCUUGGGGCUGUUGAUGGCCAGGCUAACCCGACAGGAGGCGCCGCUGCCACCGAGUGACUGGCUACCAGAUUCUGAAACCCUAAGUGCCUUGGAUGAGUGGGGCUUAAGAGACCACAGAACUGGGUCAAGGAUUAAGCUCAGUGGCACCACACCUGCCUUGCAAGCUCAAGGUCCUGGGUUUGAUCCCUGGUACCAAAAAAAAAAAAAAAAAAUUAGAGGCCACAGAACUACAGCCAGACAUUUGAGGAAGCAGCAAAUACAAAAGACAGCUGAGUGGCCUGGCCAAAGACAGCUGAGAGAUUUGGUGUGGUGAGAGCCGAGGAUGAGCACCAUGUGGAUGGACUGGAGGAUCAUCUUGGUCAGCCAGAUCAUCAGAAGCCCAGAGCACUUCCUGUGAGAUGCCUGGGGCACCGGUGCCCUUGUCCUCCUGCUACAAGGGGUCACCUCAGCCAGCCUUUCACUUUCCUCCACCCAUCAGUGCCACUCCAGCCUGCCUCUCCAGAAGCUUUGGUGCAGGGAUCACGAGGCUAAGGGCGAACUUGUGAGUUAACCACAGAGACGGCUGCCUCGUUCCCAUGGAGAAACCAGGUCCCAGCCCUAGGCCUUCCAUGACAACCGUGGACUCAUCCCUCCCUUGUGGAGAGCUCACAUUUCCUGUAAACACACCUGACAGGGGCAACUGGUCUCUAGCAACAAAGAGGUGGGCAGUGCUGGGGAGAUUUUUUUUGGAAAGACCAGAGUUUCUAUGUGUACAACAGUAUCUUUAAUAAAGAAUUGCAGAGGAAAAAAAAAAGAGGAAGAAGGGAGCUGCUGACAAUCAGGUGCCAGGCACUGAAGACGCCAUAACCAGGACGGAUGGAGACUCUGAGUCUCGUGGGAGAGUAGGCCAGAGAAGGGGAAGAUGAAGGCGCUGCCCAGAAGCGCCAGACCCGGGUAUCCAUGACGACAACACCUGGUGACUCCCUGGUUUGCUGUCUGCACAUGACUUCUGGAGUGAGCUCACUUAUCAGGACCAACCGCACAGUCCUGGAAGCUUCAUCUCCAUCCAGGCUGUGGCCAGCCAGAGAUUGUAACUCCGAAGUUCUGCUGAUGAUCCUGCAACACACUGGUCCCACAGCCUGCGCAGGUCUAGAAGGAGAGGAAACAGAGGGAUGUAAUUAAUGCACCAUUGAUGAACUCAGCUAAUUUCUUCCCCUUCUUAAGCCAGACCUGUCUCACAGUGCUGUCCAGGAUGGGAAGUUCACAAACAGAAUCUCUACAAAAAACAGGAAAGCAGCCCCAGUCACCCCUGUUUGUUUGUACCUUGAAACAGCUCCAAGGUGCUUCCUCUCUGCAGACACCACCUUCGAAGUCAGGCUCCUUGUUUAGCCAUUAGCAUCAUGAACCUGACACCCUACCCUCUAUGAUGGGACUCUCCCCACAGCUGUGACUCCAUGUUCAUCCAGGCCUUCUCUUCCCCCCGUUGCAGGUUACGUGACCUGGGCCUGGAGCAGUUUGACACAGAGGAUCCUGCUACCUGCUACUGUUCUGCUAGCUCGCAUCCUUCAAGUUCAUUACUUGCAUGAAGACUUUCAGAUGCCCACCGGCCUGCAUAAUCCUCUCAUCCAACAGAAAGGAACACCCUGUGGGGCCAGCUGUCCCCCAGGUGCCUGGGAAGAUUCUGCUAAUGGACUUGGAGAAUGGGCUCCGCUCGCUGAGGUGAAUUAGGUUUACCUUCAUUUGCCAACUCACUCAUUUCUAGCCAUUUUUUUGAAGUUGCUGGAGACACUAGAACCUUGCAUGUCUUUGCCUGGUGGCUGACAGGACACAGCUUUGUCCUUUCCACGAGGCCCCCCCCCCGUCUUGUGGAGACCCCUGUGGGAGUGGCACCCUGCUUUCUAAUGGGUCUUGGGGAGCACUCAAGCAGCUGACGCAUCUCUUAGUGGAUGUCCUAUAUGCCUGAGGACAUGUUUGCUUUUUCUCUCCUUCUUCCUUUCUUCCUUCCUUUCUCUCUCUUUCUCUCUCUAUCUCCUCUCUUACCAUUACUAUAUUUUAACUAAAUUAAGAAUCUGGCUGUGGAACUUGGCUUUUAAGGGCUUCUUAAUUUUAAACUGAGUCACUAAUACUUUAGAGUAUUUUGCAGAAUUCUUAUUUUAAAAGGUGGUACAUUGCCAAAGCAAUUCAUUUUCUCACUAUGAAAAAUUACGCAGGCGGCUAAAGUCUUCUUAAUGCUUGAAUCUGUUUUUCCAAUCAAACUGUGCCACACUCCUACCACCUUAGUGAAAAAGUACACAAAAUCCCUCGGUUUGAUUACCUCCCUGCCCCAGGGAUUGUAAAACAGUGUUGCAGCUCUCUCCUUUGCACCCCCAGGCCUGUUUUCGUUUGUGCCUGCUUUGCUGGUACCCAAGGUGGGAGCUGAGCACUUUGGAAGGGAAGAAGGGGCCUCUGGUGAGUGUGGUCCCCUGGGCACCCACGCCCCGGAGCCCCUCAGCCAAGUGCUCAGCAGCGUGUGGCACCCACAGGAUCCCCGCUGCGAGCCAGGAGGCAACUGGGUCCCGUAGGAUCCACUCAGUGAGCCUGUGAAGGACAGGGCUCUCAGAGGCCGACCUGUUGUUUUUACUGCUAAGGAGGAAGUUGGCAAUGUUCAGGCACCAGCGUGGCUCUCUAACUAAUAUAAAGACCAGCUCCGGCUGCUUUUCUCAGCCUUUUGUAAAUGAUCUGUGGUCCACACUCCCCUCCAUGUGGAGGACCCGGGUGUGCAAGUCUCUCAGGUCUCCUGCAGCGCCUGCACCCUGUGUCCUCGCACCAGGGAUGCCUGCUAUGCUCAGCUGCUCAGUUCCAGCUUGUAGAGUGUUAAUCUCAUUCCCUUAAAAACUUCAGCGGGGAAUGAAUGCCCAUCACUAGCAAACUGGUUAAACAGAUUACAGUGUGUCUCAGCAUCAUAAUGCUCUGCAGCCAAUAAAAAGAAUGAGGCAGCAGUAUAUAUACAGGUACGGAGUAAGUUGCAAGAUGAAUUGCCAAGUGGAAGAAAGCAAAGUGUAGAGCACUGUGUGUAGAAUGUGCUGCCAUUUGUUUAAGGAAAAUCCAUAUCUAUAUAUCUGCAUCUGUAUCUUUGUAUAUCAUAUCUUUGGAGGACUACAUUGGGUAGGACAGUGACUUUCCUCUGUGGCCCUUUUAUGCCUUUUGGAUUGUUUUAAAACUGUAUGCAUAUUUGUCUACUUAAUGUAAUAAAUGAACAAAAUAUUAAAAACUUGUUAGUGGAUUUGCUGUUUAAAUAAAACCA